GAGUGAAGCGGCAAAAGCUCAAAUUUGAAAUCUGGUACCUUCGGUGCCCGAGUUGUAAUUUGGAGAGGGCAACUUUGGGGCCGUUCCUUGUCUAUGUUCCUUGGAACAGGACGUCAUAGAGGGUGAGAAUCCCGUGUGGCGAGGAGUGCGGUUCUUUGUAAAGUGCCUUCGAAGAGUCGAGUUGUUUGGGAAUGCAGCUCUAAGUGGGUGGUAAAUUCCAUCUAAAGCUAAAUAUUGGCGAGAGACCGAUAGCGAACAAGUACAGUGAUGGAAAGAUGAAAAGAACUUUGAAAAGAGAGUGAAAAAGUACGUGAAAUUGUUGAAAGGGAAGGGCAUUUGAUCAGACAUGGUGUUUUGUGCCCUCUGCUCCUUGUGGGUAGGGGAAUCUCGCAUUUCACUGGGCCAGCAUCAGUUUUGGUGGCCGGAUAAAUCCGUAGGAAUGUAGCUUGCCUCGGUAAGUGUUAUACACCUGUGCGAAUACUGCCAGCUGGGACUGAGGACUGCGACGUAAGUCAAGGAUGCUGGCAUAAUGG
rnacentral:rRNA from 1 species